AAGUCGUAACAAGGUUUCCGUAGGUGAACCUGCGGAAGGAUCAUUACAGAAUUUUGUCUGGUUGUCGCUGGCCUCUGUUUGAGGUAUGUGCACGCCGGAUUUAAACUCUUACAUAUCAACCCCUGUGCACCUUUUGUGAGCUUUCAGUUUGGAUUUUGCGGAUUUGAGAAUCUGCGCCUAACACGCGCUUUUCUUGUUUCCGGUCGCGAGUCCAAGCUCAAAGUUCAUGUUUAUUACACAAACCCAAUGUAUUUAAACCUCAGAAUGCUUCAUUAGAGUUGGGACUAGCUCCCUUCUUUAAAAUGUCUAUACAACUUUCGACAACGGAUCUCUUGGCUCUC
rnacentral:misc_RNA from 1 species